rnacentral:rRNA from 1 species
CCUACGGGAGGCAGCAGUGGGGAAUUUUGGACAAUGGGCGCAAGCCUGAUCCAGCCAUGCCGCGUGCGGGAAGAAGGCCUUCGGGUUGUAAACCGCUUUUGUUCGGGAAGAAAUCGACUCCAUUAAUACUGGGUUGGAUGACGGUACCGGAAGAAUAAGCACCGGCUAACUACGUGCCAGCAGCCGCGGUAAUACGUAGGGUGCGAGCGUUAAUCGGAAUUACUGGGCGUAAAGCGUGCGCAGGCGGUUUCGCAAGUCAGAUGUGAAAGCCCCGGGCUCAACCUGGGAACUGCAUUUGAAACUACGAGGCUAGAGUGUGUCAGAGGGGGGUAGAAUUCCACGUGUAGCAGUGAAAUGCGUAGAGAUGUGGAGGAAUACCGAUGGCGAAGGCAGCCCCCUGGGAUAACACUGACGCUCAUGCACGAAAGCGUGGGGAGCAAACAGGAUUAGAUACCCUGGUAGUCCACGCCCUAAACGAUGUACAACUAGUUGUCGGAGAAGACAUUCUUGUACGUACAGCUACGCGUGAGUAGACGCCGUGGAGGUACGGUCGCGAAGUAGUAAACUUACGAAGUAAGUUAGUUAGUAGNGNGAGNGCGACGACGACGACGACGGAGGAGGAGG